GUGAUGCAUCAUACAAGCAGAAUUCUCCUUCCAAAGCUUCAAUCCUUGGUGAAUUACAUGAAGCACAAAGAACUAUUAGACGCUUGGAAGAGAAAAUGCAAAAGAUGGAGGUCCAACAAGCUAGACCAUCUCCUUCUAUCCAUGAUGGGCAUCAUUCACAUAGACCUUCAACAAGAGGUUCUUCCAAUGACAUAGGCCGUGAAGAGGACCAUAGGAGAAGGAGAACUCCACCCCAAUUCCUUGGACAUAGACAUCACAACCAAGGGGAGAGACCUCACUAUGGCAAUGGCUACUACCAAGAUGCAAA
rnacentral:lncRNA from 1 species